rnacentral:rRNA from 1 species
ACAGCAAGGUUAAGCCGGCAGGUGUAGCCGUAGCGAAAGCGAGUCUUAACAGGGCGUCAAGUUGCGUGGGUAGACCCGAAGCCGGGUGAUCUAUCCAUGUCCAGGGUGAAGUCUCGGUAACACGAGAUGGAGGCCCGAACCAUUGUUGGUUUGAAAACAGCUUGGAUGAGGUGUGGAUAGGAGUGAAAGGCUAAUCAAACUCGGUGAUAGCUGGUUUUCUCCGAAAUAUAUUUAGGUAUAGCCUUGCGAGUUGACUGACGGAGGUAAAGCACUGUUUGGGCUAGGGGUCCCACCGGAUUACCAACCCCAUACAAACUCUGAAUGCCGUCAAGUUCUAUCGCAGGAGUCAGACUGUGGGAGAUAAGUUCCAUGGUCGAGAGGGUAAGAGCCCAGACCGUCAGCUAAGGUCCCUAAACUGCACUAAGUGGAAAAGGAGGUGAAAUUGCUUAGACAACCAGGAGGUUGGCUUAGAAGCAGCAAUCCUUUAAAGAAAAGCGUAAUAGCUCACUGGUCUAGUGAAUUUGCGCCGAAAAUGUAACGGGG